rfam:Angiostrongylus cantonensis strain Taiwan genome assembly, scaffold: ACAC_contig0013356
GCCUGCGUGGCCUAAUGGAUAAGGCGUCUGACUUCUAAUCAGAAGAUUGCCGGUUCGACCCCGGCCGUGGGCU